AUUUUCAUCAUAAGCAUUCAUCUUCUAAUGAACUCCGUUGUUAUGAUGAAGUCCUUAGGACUAUUUAGAUUCGAUAAAGAGAGGAUUUAUCGAUUAGUCCUUAAAACUGUUCACGACCAAAUGAUAGGCUGUUAAUAAGGACGACAGCUUCUAUCGAGCAUAGAUCGCUGUAGGCCAUAUGGGUUGGUUGUCCUCUUAACCAAGGAGUGUGGAGACACUGGUAUGACAUACAGGUG
rnacentral:lncRNA from 1 species